rnacentral:rRNA from 1 species
UACGUAGGGUGCAAGCGUUGUCCGGAAUUAUUGGGCGUAAAGGGCUCGUAGGCGGUCCAUCGCGUCGGGAGUGAAAAGCUGGGGCUUAACCCCAGUCCUGCUUCCGAUACGGGUGGACUAGAGGUAGGUAGGGGAGAUCGGAAUUCCUGGUGUAGCGGUGAAAUGCGCAGAUAUCAGGAGGAACACCGGUGGCGAAGGCGGACUCUGGGCCCGUUACCUGACGCUGAGGCGCGAAAGCGGUGGGAGAAACAGG